AGGUGUAUGUAUGCAUCCCCCAGGUCCCAAGGUGAUCAAGAUUUCAACAAUUUCUUGCUCACUUUGCUCACACAGUGUGUGUGUCCAUAUAUGUGUGAGUCCAUGUGUGUGUGUGUGUGUGUGUGUGU